UACGGAGGGCGCAAGCGUUGUUCGGAAUUACUGGGCGUAAAGCGCGUGUAGGUGGCUUGGAAAGUCGGGUGUGAAAUCCCGGAGCUCAACUCCGGAACUGCAUCCGAUACUGCUAAGCUCGAGUCUCGGCGAGGAUGGCGGAAUUUCCGGUGUAGAGGUGAAAUUCGUAGAUAUCGGAAGGAACACCAGUGGCGAAGGUGGCCGUCUGGACGAUGUCUGACACUGAGACGCGCAAGAGCGUGCCUCAAACCGG
rnacentral:rRNA from 1 species